CAUCAGUUAUUGGAAUAAAUAUGAGGACACCCCCUUUCAUUUCUAAGGAAGAAACUACAAAUGAAUGGUUUAUUUUUAUUUGUGUAGUUUAUUUCUCCCCUUUUGUAUACAUCAUUAAACAUCACAAAGGAAUGAAAAAUAUUUAAGAUGACAGUGAUGGGUCUCCCAGAGUCGGCCUUCUGACAAGAAAUAGAGAUUUUAAAAAUAAGCAAUAUGCAUAAACUGUGUGGCUUUGACAAUUUAACUUCCAAGAGAACCCCAUUACCAGAUGCAGGCAUCCUAGGUAUUAAGGUUCUCCUGGGCAUUGAUGUAUGCUGGCUUCAUCUUCAUCGUGUCCAUUUUUAUGGCUCUGCUUGUAACAUUUAUCCAAAUUGUAGUCAUUACUGGCUUCAUGGUGAUAUUCACACUUUUUAUCCUGUGUGGCCUGUCUUUGAUAAGCCUGGCUUUCCUCCUGAGCAUGUUGAUAAAGAAACCGAUCCUCACUGGUUUGGCUGGGUUUCUCGUCACCGUAUUGUGGGGAUGUCUGGGAUUCACUGCCAUGUACAGACAACUCCCGUUUCGGUUGGGAUAGGCUUUAGGUCUUUUUAGCCCUUUUGCCUUCACUGCUGGAAUGGCUCAGGUAAGAACACAACCAUCUCAUGUCUUUAUUUAUUAGAGUUUCAAAAUUAUUGAAAGUUUGGUAUUUCAUCAAGCUGAGUGAUCAAUCACCCUGUAUUUUAAGAAAUUCUGCUAUUGAAAAGCUAAAUAAAAAAAUCUUAUCAGAGUAAUACACA